AGUGAACGCUGGCGGUAGACCUAACACAUGCAAGUCGAACGGCAGCACAGUAAGAGCUUGCUCUUACGGGUGGCGAGUGGCGGACGGGUGAGGAAUACAUCGGAAUCUACUUUUUCGUGGGGGAUAACGUAGGGAAACUUACGCUAAUGCCGCAUACGACCUACGGGUGAAAGCAGGGGAUCUUCGGACCUUGCGCGAUUGAAUGAGCCGAUGUCGGAUUAGCUAGUUGGCGGGGUAAAGGCCCACCAAGGCGACGAUCCGUAGCUGGUCUGAGAGGAUGAUCAGCCACACUGGAACUGAGACACGGUCCAGACUCCUACGGGAGGCAGCAGUGGGGAAUAUUGGACAAUGGGCGCAAGCCUGAUCCAGCCAUACCGCGUGGGUGAAGAAGGCCUUCGGGUUGUAAAGCCCUUUUGUUGGGAAAGAAAAGCAGCAGGUUAAUACCCCGCUGUUCUGACGGUACCCAAAGAAUAAGCACCGGCUAACUUCGU
rnacentral:rRNA from 1 species